GAUGAACGCUGGCGGCGUGCCUAAUACAUGCAAGUCGAGCGAACGGACGAGAAGUUUGCUUUUCUGAUGUUAGCGGCGGACGGGUGAGUAACACGUGGAUAACCUACCUAUAAGACUGGGAUAACUUCGGGAAACCGGAGCUAAUACAGGAUAAUAUUUUGAACCGCAUGGUUCAAAAGUGAAAGACGGUCUUGCUGUCACUUAUAGAUGGAUCCGCGCUGCAUUAGCUAGUUGGUAAGGUAACGGCUUACCAAGGCAACGAUGCAUAGCCGACCUGAGAGGGGGAUCGGCCACACUGGAACGGAGACACGGUCCAGACUCCUACGGGAGGCAGCAGUAGGGAAUCUUCCGCAAUGGGCGAAAACCUGACGGAGCAACGCGGCGUGAGUGAUGAAGGUCUUCGGAUCGUAAAACUCUGUUAUUAGGGAAGAACAUAUGUGUAAGUAACUGUGCACAUCUUGACGGUACCUAAUCAGAAAGCCACGGGUAACUACGUG
rnacentral:rRNA from 1 species